ACGGAUGAUUUAUAUACUGGUUCGGAUCUUACCAAUCCUACGUCCAGUCGCUUAUCUCAAAACAAGAUAAACAAUUCACUAAGAACAAAACAAUUACAAAUUACAAUCACAAAGAAACAAUUUGUAAGAGUUUAGAAACCACCUCUCUUGAUACCACAAGAGAUGAACCUACACCUCCUUCGAAUCUUCACAAAGGAUGAGACACCUCCGCCG
rnacentral:lncRNA from 1 species